rnacentral:rRNA from 1 species
UACGGGGGGAGCAAGCGUUGUUCGGAUUUACUGGGCGUAAAGCGCGUGUAGGCGGUUCGGUAAGUCCGCUGUGAAAGUCGGGGGCUCAACCCUCGGAUGCCGGUGGAUACUGUCGGACUAGAGUACGGAAGAGGCGAGUGGAAUUCCUGGUGUAGCGGUGAAAUGCGCAGAUAUCAGGAGGAACACCGAUUGCGAAGGCAGCUCGCUGGGACGUUACUGACGCUGAGACGCGAAAGCGUGGGGAGCAAACAGG